rnacentral:rRNA from 1 species
UACGGAGGGUGCAAGCGUUAUCCGGAUUCACUGGGUUUAAAGGGUGCGUAGGCGGGCAGGUAAGUCAGUGGUGAAAUCUCCGGGCUUAACUCGGAAACUGCCGUUGAUACUCUCUGUCUUGAAUCCCGUGGAGGUGAGCGGAAUAUGUCAUGUAGCGGUGAAAUGCUUAGAUAUGACAUAGAACACCAAUUGCGAAGGCAGCUCGCUACACGAAGAUUGACUCUGAGGCACGAAAGCGUGGGGAUCAAACAGG